UGAAAGCACUUCUACUUGCCUUUUUGCCAAGUUUUUCAAUAUCUGUGUCUGUGGCGACAGUCCCGGGCUAGAUGUAAAUAGGCCGCCAUGUUAGUGACGCUGCUGACAGCGGUUGGUACAAUUUGUUUAAUGUUGAUAAUAGUUGUUUUGGUCAUUUUCAGAUGAAACUGAUCUCAUUGUGUCUUGAGAUUUGACCUAUAUCAUGAUUGUUUUAAUUUUUUUCCGGUUUCCUUUUCCAGCAGAAAAUGGCACCUGAUGUCAGCGAGCAGCUGACACCUGAUGUCAGGGACAGACCUCAGCAGCAAUUGGCACCUGAUGUUAGCCAGCCGAUUGUCGAAGAAAGCGACAGACCUCAG